rnacentral:misc_RNA from 1 species
GAAAUGCGAUAAGUAAUGCGAAUUGCAGAAUUCAGUGAAUCAUCGAAUCUUUGAACGCACAUUGCGCCCGCCAGCACUCUGGCGGGCAUGCCUGUCCGAGCGUCAUUUCAACCCCUCGCCUGCCCUUCGGGGCGGCGGUGUUGGGGAUCGGCGUACCCGCCGUCCCCUAAAUCUAUCGGCGGCCGCGGUGCUGUCUCCCUUGCGUAGUAGCAACACCUCGCACUGGAGCGCCCUGCGUGCCACGCCGCUAAACCCCCGACUUUUAUGAUCUGAUCUCAAAUCAGGUAGGACUACCCGCUGAACUUAAGC